rnacentral:tRNA from 1 species
GGGCGAGUGGCGAAAUUGGUAGACGCGCUAGCCUUAGGAGCUAGUGUCGCAAGACUUGGAGGUUCGAGUCCUCUCUCGCCCA